rnacentral:rRNA from 1 species
UACGUAGGGUGCGAGCGUUAAUCGGAAUUACUGGGCGUAAAGCGUGCGCAGGCGGUCCGCAAAGUCUGAUGUGAAAGCCCCGGGCUCAACCUGGGAACUGCAUUUGAUACUGGCGGGCUUGAAUCCGGGAGAGGGAUGCGGAAUUCCAGGUGUAGCGGUGAAAUGCGUAGAUAUCUGGAGGAACACCGGUGGCGAAGGCGGCAUCCUGGACCGGCAUUGACGCUGAGGCGCGAAAGCCAGGGGAGCAAACGGG